rnacentral:rRNA from 1 species
AGUGAACGCUGGCGGUAGGCCUAACACAUGCAAGUCGAACGGCAGCACAGGAGAGCUUGCUCCUGGUGGCGAGUGGCGAACGGGUGAGUAAUAUAUCGGAACGUACCCUAGAGUGGGGGAUAACGCAGCGAAAGUUGCGCUAAUACCGCAUACGAUCUACGGAUGAAAGUGGGGGAUCGCAAGACCUCAUGCUCAUGGAG